UUUGCCUACGGGGGGCAGCAGUAGGGAAUCUUCCACAAUGGGCGAAAGUCUGAUGGAGCAACGCCGCGUGGGUGAAGAAGGUCUUCGGAUCGUAAAAACCUGUUGUUAGAGAAGAAAGUGCGUGAGAGUAACUGUUCACGUUUCGACGGUAUCUAACCAGAAAGCCACGGCUAACUACGUGCCAGCAGCCGCGAUAAUACGUAGGUGGCAAGCGUUAUCCGGAUUUAUUGGGCGUAAAGUGAACGCUGGCGGGCUUU
rnacentral:rRNA from 1 species